rnacentral:sRNA from 1 species
GAUGAUAGGGUUCCGAAGUCAAAAAUCGUUCGUGCUUGCACGAAAACGAUUUUGACCUUGGAACCCGCCAAACACGAGGAAGGAGCUGUUUGCGCAGUAAACAAGCGGAUUCCGAGUGUUUGCAGGAUUGCGGGAAUUGCGAAGCAAUGAAGCAAUCCGUCAUC